GCUUUCCUGUGGCACAGUUGGUAGAGCAUUGCGUUGACAACGCAAAGGUCAUGGGUUCAAUUGAAGAAAGCA